rnacentral:piRNA from 2 species
UUUGAGAAAGGAACCCGUGGGAAGAAGGA